rnacentral:rRNA from 1 species
GACGUAGGGUGCGAGCGUUGUCCGGAUUUAUUGGGCGUAAAGAGCUCGUAGGCGGCUCGUCGCGUCGACCGUGAAAACCCGCGGCUUAACUGCGGGCUUGCGGUUGAUACGGGCGGGCUAGAGUUCGGUAGGGGAGACUGGAAUUCCUGGUGUAGCGGUGAAAUGCGCAGAUAUCAGGAGGAACACCGGCGGCGAAGGCGGGUCUCUGGGCCGAUACUGACGCUGAGGAGCGAAAGCGUGGGGAGCGAACAGG